CACAACUCCGAUUGAAGCUGUCUGUGUCUCUUGUGUAGCUGAUGACAAAAAGGAGCUAUGUGUGACUUGUUUUCGUUGAUGGUCCCUGUUCAGUUUGUUGCAUUGUAGCUGUCCAGCAACCUUCAACGAAAAUACACCU
ensembl:snoRNA small nucleolar RNA SNORA16B/SNORA16A family